CCGACGGUGAGGGGUGAAGGCUGGGGGCGCAAACCGGAUUAGAUACCCGGGUAGUCCCAGUAGUAAACGAUGCCAGCUAUGUGUUGCUGGAACCAUGGGUUCCAGCAGUGCCGAAGGGAAGCCGUGAAGCUGGCCACCUGGGAAGUACGGUCGCAAGGCUGAAACUUAAAGGAAUUGGCGGGGGAGUACCACAACCGGUGGAGCCUGCGGUUUAAUUGGAUACAACGCCGGGAAUCUUACCGGAGGGGACAGCAGUAUGAAGGCCAGGCUAAAGACCUUGCCAGAUCAGCUGAGAGGAGGUGCAUGGCCGUCGCCAGUUCGUACCGUGAGGCAUCCUGUUUAGUCAGGCAACGAUCGAGACCCGCAGUCUUAUUUGCCAGCAUGCCCUUUGGGGUGUAUGGGUACAAUAAGACGACCGCCAGCGCUAAGCUGGAGGAAGGAGCGGGCUACGGUAGGUCAGCAUGCCCCGAAUCCUCCGGGAUACACGCGGGCUACAAUGGUCAGGACAAAAGGUACCGACCUCGAAAGAGUGAGGUAAUCCACAAACCUGAUCUCAGUCCGGAUCGAAGGCUGCAACUCGCCUUCGUGAAGAUGGAAUCGGUAGUAAUCGUGACUCAAAAUGUCACGGUGAAUAUGUCCCUGCUCCUUG
rnacentral:rRNA from 1 species